rnacentral:rRNA from 1 species
GGGUUGUGAGGUUAAGCGACUAAGCGUACACGGUGGAUGCCCUGGCAGUCAGAGGCGAUGAAGGGCGUGCUAAUCUGCGAUAAGCGCCGGUAAGGUGAUAUGAACCGUUAUAACCGGCGAUACCCGAAUGGGGAAACCCAGUGUGACUCGUCACACUAUCAUUAACUGAAUCCAUAGGUUAAUGAGGCGAACCGGGGGAACUGAAACAUCUAAGUACCCCGAGGAAAAGAAAUCAACCGAGAUUCCCCCAGUAGCGGCGAGCGAACGGGGAGGAGCCCAGAGCCUGAAUCAGCAUGUGUGUUAGUGGAAGCGUCUGGAAAGGCGCGCGAUACAGGGUGACAGCCCCGUACACAAAAGCGCAUGUGCUGUGAGCUCGAUGAGUAGGGCGGGACACGUGGUAUCCUGUCUGAAUAUGGGGGGACCAUCCUCCAAGGCUAAAUACUCCUGACUGACCGAUAGUGAACCAGUACCGUGAGGGAAAGGCGAAAAGAACCCCGGCGAGGGGAGUGAAAAAGAACCUGAAACCGUGUACGUACAAGCAGUGGGAGCCCCACCACCAAAGCAUUUGCUGUACCGCGUUGAC